rnacentral:misc_RNA from 1 species
GAUGAAGAACGUAGCGAAAUGCGAUACGUAAUGUGAAUUGCAGAGUUCAGUGAAUCAUCGAGUCUUUGAACGCACAUUGCGCCCCCUGGUAUUCCGGGGGGCAUGCCUGUCCGAGCGUCAUUGCUGCCCUCAAGCACGGCUUGUGUGUUGGGCCUCCGUCCUCCUCCCGGGGGACGGGCCCGAAAGGCAGCGGCGGCACCGCGUCCGGUCCUCGAGCGUAUGGGGCUUCGUCACCCGCUCUUCUAGGCCCGGCCGGCGCUUGCCGACACAUCAAUCUUUUUUCCAGGUUGACCUCGGAUCAGGUAGGGAUACCCGCUGAACUUAAGCAUAUCAAUAAGCGGAGGA